UACGGGGGGGGUAAGCGUUGUUCGGAAUUAUUGGGCGUAAAGGGUGCGUAGGCGGUUUGGUAAGUCUGAUGUGAAAUCUAUGGGCUCAACUCAUAGUCUGCAUCGGAAACUGCCGGGCUUGAGUGUGGGAGAGGUGAGUGGAAUUCCUGGUGUAGCGGUGAAAUGCGUAGAUAUUCGCAAGAACACCAGUGGCGAAGGCGGCUCACUGGCCCGGUACUGACGCUGAGGUGCGAAAGCGUGGGGAGCAAACAGG
rnacentral:rRNA from 1 species